rnacentral:rRNA from 1 species
AGUGAACGCUGGCGGUAGGCCUAACACAUGCCAGUCGAACGGCAGCACAGUAAGAGCUUGCUCUUACGGGUGGCGAGUGGCGGACGGGUGAGGAAUACAUCGGAAUCUACUUUUUCGUGGGGGAUAACGUAGGGAAACUUACGCUAAUACCGCAUACGACCUACGGGUGAAAGCAGGGGAUCUUCGGACCUUGCGCGAUUGAAUGAGCCGAUGUCGGAUUAGCUAGUUGGCAGGGUAAAGGCCCACCAAGGCGACGAUCCGUAGCUGGUCUGAGAGGAUGAUCAGCCACACUGGAACUGAGACACGGUCCAGACUCCUACGGGAGGCAGCAGUGGGGAAUAUUGGACAAUGGGCGCAAGCCUGAUCCAGCCAUACCGCGUGGGUGAAGAAGGCCUUCGGGUUGUAAAGCCCUUUUGUUGGGAAAGAAAAGCAGCAGGUUAAUACCCCGCUGUUCUGACGGUACCCAAAGAAUAAGCACCGGCUAACUUCGUG